rnacentral:rRNA from 1 species
UAGUCAUAUGCUUGUCUCAAAGAUUAAGCCAUGCAUGUCUAAGUUCAAGCGAAAAUAAAGUGAAACCGCGAAUGGCUCAUUACAUCAGUUAUGGUUCCUUAGAUCGCACUUACUACUUGGAUAACUGUGGUAAUUCUAGAGCUAAUACAUGCACUGAGCUCCAACCUUCACGGAAGGAGCGCUUUUAUUAGAUCAAAGCCAAUCGGGUCUUCGGAUCCGUUUUGUUGGUGACUCUGAAUAACUUUGCUGAUCGCAUGGUCUUGCACCGGCGACGUAUCUUUCAAGUGUCUGCCUUAUCAACUGUCGACGGUAGGGUAUUGGCCUACCGUGGUAGUAACGGGUAACGGGGAAUCAGGGUUCGAUUCCGGAGAGGGAGCCUGAGAAACGGCUACCACAUCCAAGGAAGGCAGCAGGCGCGCAAAUUACCCACUCCCGGCACGGGGAGGUAGUGACGAAAAAUAACGAUACGGAACUCAUACGAGGCUCCGUAAUCGGAAUGAGUACACUUUAAAUCCUUUAACGAGGAUCUAUU